CAGUCGCCACGGUAGUGCGUAGGUCCCGAGCGUUGUCCGGAUUUAUUGGGCGUAAAGCGCGCGCAGGUGGUUUAAUAAGUCUGAUGUGAAAGCCCACGGCUCAACCGUGGAGGGUCAUUGGAAACUGUUAAACUUGAGUGCAGGAGAGAAAAGUGGAAUUCCUAGUGUAGCGGUGAAAUGCGUAGAGAUUAGGAGGAACACCAGUGGCGAAGGCGGCUUUUUGGCCUGUAACUGACACUGAGGCGCGAAAGCGUGGGGAGCAAACAGGAUUAGAUACCCCAGUAGUCCCUGUCUUUAUACA
rnacentral:rRNA from 1 species